AUUGAACGCUGGCGGCAGGCCUAACACAUGCAAGUCGAGCGAGCGGCGGACGGGUGAGUAAUGUAUGGGGACUGCCCGAUAGAGGGGGAUAACUACUGGAAACGGUAGCUAAUACCGCAUACUAUCGGAUAACCCAUAUUGGAUUAGCUAGUAGGUGGGGUAAAGGCUCACCUAGGCGACGAUCUCUAGCAUGUCUGAGAGGAUGAUCAGCCACACUGGGACUGAGACACGGCCCAGACACCUACGGAGGCAGCAGUGUGGAAUAUUGCACAAUGGGCGAAAGCCUGAUGCAGCGACGCCGCGUGGGGGAUGAGGGCUUUCGGGUUGUAAACCUCUUUCGCUAUCGAACGGGUAGGUGGAGAAGAAGCGCCGGCUAACUACGUGCCAGCAGCCGCGGUAAUAC
rnacentral:rRNA from 1 species